rnacentral:rRNA from 1 species
UGAAACUGCUUAGAGGUUAAGCCCGAUGAACCUGAAUAUCCAAUAUAGAAAAUUCAUCAUUAUGACUUUAAUAUAUUAUAAUAAUAGUGUGCAUUUUUUCUAUAGAGGACAUUGUAAUCUAUUAAUAUAAAGAAUUUAUUAUAAGAUCAGCGUAAGUUUAUACGAAUUAUUUUGCUUGCAAUUUAACAUAGAAUAAAUGCUUUUGAUUUGAUAAAGUGUUGAUAGAUUUAAUAUAUAGUGCUUGAAUAAUAUUCUAUAAUAGCAUAUUAAUUAAUAAUUUUUAUGUUUAUUUUAUGCACUUAUAUGAUUAACAAUGCGAAAGAUUCAGGAUACCUUCGGGACCCGUCUUGAAACACGGACCAAGGAGUCUAACAUAUUUGCAAGUUAUUGGGUGAAACCUAAUAGCGAAAUUAACAUAACUAAUUGGGAUUAGUUUUUAGCCAGUCUAUUAAUUCAAUCCCGGGGCGUUCUAUUGUUAUGUAUAAUAAUAUUUAUAUUAUUUAUACCUCUAACUAGAGCGUACCUUGAGCAUAUAUGCUGUGACCCGAAAGAUGGUGAACUAUACUUGAUCAGGUUGAAGUCAGGGGAAACCCUGAUGGAAGACCGAAACAGUUCUGACGUGCAAAUCGAUUGUCAGAAUUGAGUAUAGGGGCGAAAGACCAAUCGAACCAUCUAGUAGCUGGUUCCCUCUGAAGUUUCCCUCAGGAKWRSYGGKGMAUUUAAAAAUUAUGUAAAAUAAUYWWRUCWGGUAAAGCGAAUGAUUARAGGCCUUAGGGUCGAAASGAUCUUAACCUAUUCUCAAACUUUAAAUGGGUAAGAACCUCACCUUUCUUGGUAUGAAGGUAGUGGUUGUGAUAUAAUGUGCCCAGUGGGCCACUUUUGGUAAGCAGAACUGGCGCUGUGGGAUGAACCAAACGARGUGUUACGGUGCCCAAAUUAACAACUCAUGCAGAUACCAUGAAAGGCGUU